AAUAAAGCGUUGUUAUUGAGGCAUUAGACGAAUAUUUAGAUACAAAAUAUAAAGACGUAGCGUAUUUACGAAAAGUCGUGAACAAAAAACGCAUAAUUUAUGAAUUUACGAAUUUCUUAAAAGAGAAAUCUUGCUUGUCUUUCUACAAAAAAAUAUUGAGCGAAUUGAACCAUCUAAGUAGCUUAAGAAAAAAAAUCAACCGAGAUUUUGUUAAUAGUGGCGAGCUAAAGCAAAUUAGAAAUAAAAUUAACUAUAUGAAAAAAAGGUUAAAUUCUUUACCAAAGAAGGUUGUAGUCCUGUAUCUUAGUAGUUAAUUAAAAUUAAAGUAAGGAAAAAUGAUGCAAAUUUUUCUAAAAAUUGGGGAACCAUACCUCGUUUCUAAAUAUUGUUUUGUAUUCGAUAGUGAAAAAGUACUGUAAAGGAAAAAUGAAAAGAAAGUUUAUUAAAAAACUUAUUGUGAAAAGAACUUGAAAUCUAAUGCUUUUAACCAACUAAAGUUUUGUAUUCAUACAAAGCAAUAGUGUUCCUUUUGUAUCAUGCAUUGACGACUUUAUAAUAAUAGCAAGCUUAAAUUGAAUAAAUGUAGGCAUAGUAAACACAGGUUUUAUCAAAAGAGCAAUGUUAAGAUACAGUUAUUAUUAUAAGACCCGAAUCCAAGUGAUCUAAUUAUGAAUAGAUUGAACAUAUAAUAACUUAUGUGGAAAGAUCGAAAUUGUAGUUGUUGCAAAAACUUAAUAUAAUUUGUAAUUAGGGGUGAAAGGCUAAUCAAACUUGGUUCUAGCUGGAAUUUUGCGAAAAAUAUUGAGGUAUUGCGUAAAUAGUUUUAAAGCAAAAGGUAGAGCACUUUUUAAACUAAGGGAACUAAUACUUUUACUGAAUUUAGAUAAACUCCGAAUUUUUGCAUUUAAUGAAGCGAUUUAUUAAUUUAUUAUUUAUAGUCAGACUUAAAAUGCUAAGAUUUUAAGUCAAAAGGGAAACAGCCCAGAUUAAUAGCUAAGGUUUUAAAAAAGUAUGCUUAGUAUAAAAGAUUGUAAAAAUAUAACGAUGACUAGAAGGUAAGCUUGGAAGUAGCUAUCCUGUCAAAAAUGUGUAAAAACAUACUAGUUGAAUUUUUCAUUAAAAUAUUUUUUUGCGUCGAAGAUUUAUAGAAUUUUAAGCUAUUUACCGAAGCUUUAAACUUUAACAAAAGUGGUAGCAAAACAUUUCUUUUUUCAGAAAAGCUUUAUUGUAAAAUAAAGUGAAGAAACAGAAAGUGAUAAUGUCAAUAUUAGUAACGUAAGAUAAUAUUAAAAUUAUUAUUACCGUAUAAUUCAAGGUUUUUUACGCAAUGUUAAUCAUCGUAAAAAAAAGUCGGUAUCUAAAAAUAUUUACGCGAACAGCGCGUUUUGAUGAUUAUUUUUAGUAAAAACUAAUAAAAAAUGACGCAGAAAUAACACAUCUUGAGAUAUUAUAAGUUUAUCUUAGAAGUUUUUUAUGCCAAGAAACAAUUUUUAUUUGAAAAACCGUACUAAGCCAACAAAGGAGAAUUUGUUUCAUAAAACUAAGGUAGAUGAAUUAACCAUUUUUAAGGAACUCGGCAAAAUUAUUCUUUAACUUCGGAAUACAGAAAACCUUGUAAAAAAGGUAUCAUAAAAAAGCGAAAAGCGACUGUUUACUAAAAACAUAAGGUUUUGCUAAAUUGUAAAAUGCAGUAUAAAAUCUGAUGCCUGCCCAGUGCUAGAAUACUAAAUAAAUAAGUAAAAGCUUACAAAUUAACUACUAGUUAACGGCAGUCGUAACUCUAACGAUUCAAAGGUAGCGAAAUUCCUUGUCAUUUAAUUGAUGACCCGCAUGAAAGGCGUAACGACUUUUCGACUGUCUCAAAAAUGGAUUCAGUGAAAUUAGAUUGUUCGUGAAGAUACGAAUAUAUAAAAGUGUGACGGAAAGACCCUGUGCACCUUAACUAUAAUUUUGUAUUGCUAUAGCAUUUUUUUUGUAUAGAAUAAGUGGCAGCUGUUAAAAAAGUCUUAGCGCUAGCUAAUUACUAAAGCGAAAAUGAAAUACCACUCUUAAUAAGAUGCAUAACUAAUUUUAAUCAAAGAAAGUGCAAAAUGGUUAGUUUAGCUGGGGCGGCGGACUUCAACAUAGUAACGAAGCCCUACAAAGGUAAGUUCAAAUUCUGUAGAAAUGAAUUUUUGAGUACAAUGGUUCAAACUUGCUUGACUGUAAGACUUACAAGUCAAACAGAGACAUUAUAAAAACAAAGUUUUUAAAGUCGGUCAUAGUGAUCCAGUUAUUUUAAAUGGAUAAAUAUCUGCUUAUGGAAAAAAGGUACGCCAGGGAUAACAGGCUGAUGCUUCUUGAGAGUCCUUAUCGACAGAAGCGUUUGGCACCUCGAUGUCGGG
rnacentral:rRNA from 1 species